AAAUACUAAAGUAAAACCGGUACGUAAAUACUAAAGUAAAAGGUACGUAAAUACUAAAGUAAAACCGGUACGUAAAUACUAAAGUAAAAGGUACGUAAAUACUAAAGUAAAACCGGUACGUAAAUACUAAAGUAAAACCGGUACGUAAAUACUAAAGUAAAACCGGUACGUAAAUACUCAAGUAAAACCGGUACGUAAAUACUCAAGUAAAAGGUACGUAAAUACUACAUUAAAACCGGUACAUAAAUACUCAAGUAAAACCGUUACGUAAAUACUCAAGUGAAACCGGUACGUAAAUACUAAAGUACAAGGUACGUAAAUACUAAAGUAAAACCGGUACGUAAAUACUAAAGUAAAACCGGUACGUAAAUACUAAAGUAAAACCGGUACGUAAAUACUAAAGUAAAAGGUACGUAAAUACUCGGGUAAAACCUGUAUGUAAAUACUCAAAGAAAAUCGGUACGUAAAUACUCAAAGAAAACCGGUACGUAAAUACUCAAGUAAAACCGGUACGUAAAUACUCAAGUAAAAGUCGUCAAUCUGUUCAACCAGGGAGCAAAUUGAUUUUAGAAAUAUCUGAAAAUGUAAUCACUGGGAAGAGUUGUGCAGAAGCCAAAUCAUCUUUUGGAAGAUGGUUGGUGUUGUCUUUUGGAUAUACAGUAAUUUUUCGGAAAUUUUCGUCUUCACCUUGAGAGACAUAUGAGGCGGGAAAACGACGGACAAACACCAGUGCAUUUUGUCAUGUGCAACAAGAAUAUCUUUGUAGUGGCAAUAGGAACUUUGAUAAAAAAAAAAACAACAACAAAAAACUCUUAUUUCCACGACUAUUUUCAAACAAUUCAUUAUCUAUUAAGUUGUGAAUUUAUUCUUUAUUAAGAAUUCAUUAUAUGAAAUAUUGACAUAAGAUGCCUGGUUGCAUAAAAAUACCACUAUAUCACUGUCAUGAUCGUGUGCAGGAUUGGACAAAACAAGAUGGCAGACGUCAUUUCCAAACAAAGAUCCAGUCAAGAGCGGACUUCCUUAAGCUUAAAAAUUGCAAGUGAAUGAAGUGUGUUCUAUUUUAUGUCUCCUACUAAAACCAUGGUUUUGACAAACCUAAAAGAGCACGUGGAGCAAGGAACUAUCAGUAAGCCGGAAGAGCCAGCUCGAAAAUCUUUAAGUGUUUGAGAAUUUCGCCACGCACAUGAAUCUAAAGUUCUGCCACACGUUAGAAGGAGCCUUGUUCUCGAAGAUCAACAUGUUGAAAAGUCUUCAUUUUGCAGAAGCAAAUACAUUUAUAUUGUAUAUACACAUGUAGACCAUGUUCGAUUCCCAACCACUUAACAUUUGUAAUAUCUGCAUGGAAUUAUUAAAACUGAGCAUGGUUUGACGUAUAAUAAUCUCUUCAGGCAUGAUGGUUUACAUUUCAUAAAGCUGUUCAAUGACAAUAAAGACUAUAAGAUGU